UACGGAGGGUGCAAGCGUUAUCCGGAUUCACUGGGUUUAAAGGGUGCGUAGGUGGCUUUGUAAGUCAGUGGUGAAAUCUUAGAGCUUAACUCUAAAACUGCCAUUGAUACUGCUUAGCUUGAAUCAAGUAGAGGUGGAUGGAAUAAUACAUGUAGCGGUGAAAUGCUUAGAUAUGUAUUAGAACACCGAUUGCGAAGGCAGUUCACUAUGCUUGUAUUGACACUGAGGCACGAAAGCGUGGGGAUCAAACAGG
rnacentral:rRNA from 1 species